CGCCAGGCGAGGCUCCAGGACAUGCUAUGGCACCUCGAAGCAUGUAUGGAAGGGAUAUAUUUUAGAGUUUUUAGAUUGAGAUUUUAACAUGGGGGAUGAUUUAUCAUGGAGAUUGAGACCUCCAGGCUCCGUAGGACCAGAAGUGGAUAUUUCUGUAAGACUGCCAGUUGAUGAUGAUGAGAUGUUGGAGGGCAGGAGAGAAGAUGAAACCCCACUCAUCAAGCGGGCCGUGCCACACUUUCGGUAAGUACUUUAGAACAUGGCGC